rnacentral:misc_RNA from 1 species
AAGCCGUUGCGAGCAUUCGAGCUUGCAGAUCGACUCAUUCUUACCGCGCCAUUUUUCGCCAUCGCUUCUUGUGGUUUCAUCUACGCCGCCUUUCCGUUUUACAAUACCGCGGUAGCCUUUCGCCAAUGAUGCUCCGCCGCUCCCUCAUAGCCCUCAACUGGCGUGACCAGGGCAUCAGCUACGUCAAGUACCUUAAUGUAACGACCGAAGCGCUCCACAUGGCCACUAAGGAUAAGGCGCGCGCCAAGUACUCGCGCUUCUCCGCUCCCAACUAUGUUGCGAUGAAGAACGACAGCACUGGCGCGAUGGAGGAGGUGAAGAAGGUGCCCGCCUUCACGAAGGACUACUAGGCAUGACUCGCGAGGAACCCACACCGAUACAGGACACACGCGCUCACAGACCAACAGCUUUUGAAGCAGACACGCAACGCGACACAGUCCCGGAUGCGGCGUAGAAGCGAGCGACGACUGGCGUUUGCCAAGGCGACGCUUAUUGCUCGACGAUGGCGGUGCCAUGCCGCUUUCUCUUUUUAUCGCUCUGUGUGUGUGCGUGUGUGUGCAUGCGUGUGUCUUGAGUGAUUCGUCACUCUGGGGAUGGCCGUCUCAGCGCGUCACGAUAGGGCGGUUGUAGUAAGUUGAAACAAAAGAAGGGGACGAACAUCUCACGUAGUCCCGGUAGGAAGCAAACCGAGCACUAACGUAUGAGCAGCCGACGCAACGAGGAGGCUCUUGGGCCACAUACACUGUAAAUGCCGUAAAGGUGCGCGUGCCCUUGGCGACAGAGCAUCUACACACACCGGCUUCAAUCGGUGGAGGGGAAGACUCUACGCCAUCUUUUUUUUUGUGUCAACAG